CUGAGCAACAAUCUAGCAUUAUCAAAAGCGCUUUUGAGCUCGUCAGUACAGAUAAACUGAGCUUAUCCCUUCAACAAAUUUGUCAGUGGGGCAACCACCGUAGAAAAGUUAGAACAAAAACUCUGGUACCAUAUCACUUUGGCCCGCACUGGCCUCACCUCUCCUUGCCCCACCACCUUUCCCAGCAGAUGACCGUAGCCUGCACAAAUUCACACUUUGCUAAAUUCACUGUUAAGUUAGCCUCCCGAAGCCUCUCAAACAGCGCCGCCAAUCUGGACAAAUGUAAGGCCCAGGUAUCACAGACUGUCACAACAUCGUCCAGAUAAACGGCACAACCCUCAUGCCCAGCUAUUAAGUGAUUCAUAAGACGUUGGAAGGCCGCAGGCCACAUUAUGGCCACAUUACGCAAACCAAAACUCAUCACAUUGUAAGAGUAUAAGCCAGACGGAGUGACAAAGGCAGAUACCUCCUAUGUAGGGCUGCAACUAACGAUUAUUUUAAUAAUCGAUUUAUCUGUAGAUUAUUUUUUCGAUGAAUCGGAUAAAAAAAAGAAACAUUUUGAAUUGCCGCAUCUUUAUUCAAAAACGGAACAUUACUUCAAAUUCACAGUGCAUACUGAAGUGUAAAAACACCAGGUUAUUGCUCCAACGUCCCGGAACUAUUAAAAGUAAUAUUAAAUAAUAAAAAAAUUAAAAAAACAUAACUGGGAUAACACAAAAAAAAACAUACAAUGUAUGAUAUACUUUUAUAUGUAUAUAAGGGAUGUCCAUGGUUAACCGGUCAAACCUAUUGA